CUCUUUGCCAGCUGCCAUCCAAGUAAGUUGGGAUUUGCUUUUCCUUACCCUCCUCCAUGAGUGUGAGGCUUCCCCAGCCACGUAGAACUAUCAACCCUGAGGAUUGGGAAGGAACUAUACAUACCAGGAGGCAAGGAGCACUGGGGGCCCUCCUGGAACUGCCUGUCACAGCGUCCUCAAAGGAUGGAACAGAUUAUUUCUACAGAAACCCUAAGUUUUAAAAAGAAAAAAUGCACAACAUUCCCAGAAGACCAGCAGCAGGAGCGACAUUCCACAACCUUGAAUUUAAGGUGCUUCCUGUUUACUUCUCUGUGAAUUAUCAUUGCCACCUCUGUGAAAUCACCUAGCCACAUGAGGUAGCAAAGCUGCCUGCCACCCAACGGGCUGCAGGGGGAACUGUUUCAUUUGUAUUAGAGUUCUUCAAAGAAAGAGGGAGAAAGAGUGAGAAAGAAAGAUUAUGGAAAUUCACUCAUAUGAUUACGGGAGUCAAAAAGUCCCACCAUCUGCCUUCUUCAAGCUGGAGAACCAGGAAAGUCAGUGGUGUAAUUCAGUCCAAGUCCAAAGGCCUGAGAACCACGGGAGCCAAUGGUAUAAGUCCCAGUCUGAAGCCAAAGGCCUGAGAACCACUGGCAGGAGGGCAGAGGAGUCUUGCUGGUAUAAGACCCAUAAUCCAAAGGACUGAGAACCAGGAAGCUUUGAUGUCCAAGAGAAGGAGAAGAUGGAUAUCCUUGCUCAUGCUUCUUCUGCCUUUUAUUCCUAUUUGAGCCCACAACAGAUUGGAUGAUGUCUGCCCACUUUAGUGAGGGAAGAUUUUUUUUACCCGGUCUACUUAUUCAAAUGUUAAUAUCUUCUGGAGAUCCUCAUACAGACACACCCAGAAAUAAUGUUUUACCAGCAAUCUGGGCAUCCUCAGCCCAGUCAGGGUGACACAUAAAAUUAGCCCUUACAACAUUACUGCCAUUUUACAAUACAGUGGCAAUGUAUGAAAACGCUAGGUCCCCUACAUUCUUGGCAAUACUUGGUAUGGUCAGUCUUUUUCGUUUUAAUCAUUCUAAUGGGAAUGCUGUAAUAUCUCAUUGUGGUUUAAUUUGUAUUUUCCUCAUGAUAAUGAUAAAGAAUAUCUUUACAUGU
ensembl:lncRNA novel transcript